GAUGAAGAACGUAGCGAAAUGCGAUACGUAAUGUGAAUUGCAAAUUCAGUGAAUCAUCGAGUCUUUGAACGCACAUUGCGCCCCCUCGUAUUCCGGGGGGCAUGCCUGUCCGAGCGUCAUUGCUGCCCUCAAGCACGGCUUGUGUGUUGGGCCCCGUCCUCCGAUCCCGGGGGACGGGCCCGAAAGGCAGCGGCGGCACCGCGUCUGGUCCUCGAGCGUAUGGGGCUUUGUCACCCGCUCUGUAGGCCCGGCCGGCGCUUGCCGAUCAACCCAAAUUUUUAUCCAGGUUGACCUCGGAUCAGGUAGGGAUACCCGCUGAACUUAAGCAUAUCAAUAAGCGGAGGA
rnacentral:misc_RNA from 1 species